CUAUGUCGAUGUGCAACCGCAGGGCCUCCUUCGAGACCCGAAGAAAAAUUUUUGGAAGUCCAUAAUGGACUG
rnacentral:snRNA from 1 species